rnacentral:miRNA from 1 species
ACCUGUGCCCUUCUGAGUAGC